rnacentral:rRNA from 1 species
UGGGUUAGUGGCGGACGGGUGAGUAACGCGUGGGCAACCUGCCUUACACAGGGGGAUAACACUUAGAAAUAGGUGCUAAAACCGCAUAAGCGCACAGCUUCGCAUGAAGCGGUGUGAAAAACUCCGGUGGUGUAAGAUGGACCCGCGUCUGAUUAGCUUGUUGGCGGGGUAACGGCCCACCAAGGCGACGAUCAGUAGCCGGCCUGAGAGGGCGGACGGCCACAUUGGGACUGAGACACGGCCCAAACUCCUACGGGAGGCAGCAG